rnacentral:tRNA from 7 species
GCUUGUCUAGUUCAGUUGGUAGAGCAUAAGGCUUUUAACUUUGAAGUUGUGGGUUCAAGCCCCAUUGUGGGGCG